rnacentral:rRNA from 1 species
AGCAGUCGCCCGGUAAUACGAAGGGUGCAAGCGUUAAUCGGAAUUACUGGGCGUAAAGCGUGCGUAGGCGGUUUGUUAAGUCCGUUGUGAAAGCCCUGGGCUCAACCUGGGAAUUGCAGUGGAUACUGGGUCACUAGAGUGUGGUAGAGGAUAGUGGAAUUUCCGGUGUAGCAGUGAAAUGCGUAGAGAUCGGAAGGAACAUCUGUGGCGAAGGCGACUAUCUGGGCCAACACUGACACUGAGGCACGAAAGCGUGGGGAGCAAACAGGAUUAGAUACCCGUGUAGUCCCUGUCUCUUAUACA